UACAGAGGGGGCUAGCGUUGCUCGGAAUCACUGGGCGUAAAGCGCACGUAGGCGGAUUGCUAAGUCAGGGGUGAAAUCCUGGAGCUCAACUCCAGAACUGCCCUUGAUACUGGCGGUCUCGAGUCCGGGAGAGGUGAGUGGAACUGCGAGUGUAGAGGUGAAAUUCGUAGAUAUUCGCAAGAACACCAGUGGCGAAGGCGGCUCACUGGCCCGGUACUGACGCUGAGGUGCGAAAGCGUGGGGAGCAAACAGG
rnacentral:rRNA from 1 species